CUAGACAUUUUAGGGCUAAUUUGUUGUAUAGUUCGAAUACUUGUUUUUUUUUUUUUACAGCCCAAAUUAAAAUAAGCCCAACAUAUUAAUGUACUCAUAUUCUUUCUCACUUCAUUAACCCUAAAAUCUCACAGCCUCCAUUACUUUGAAUCACAUACUCUCUUAGAUCUCACCCCUUCACUAGUCACCCCUCCAUCACGGCGGCUCCGUUCAAGUGUUCUCCACUCGGAUUCUCCUUUCAAGCAGCCUCGCUCAUAUUAUUAAAUAUUGGUAAUGGAUGAACCUAUGGAUGAUGAAAGUGAUGCGGGUGUUGGGAAUGCAACAAGCGAACCAAUCACAGUUGGCGAUAAGAGGAAGUCUGAGUUUUGGUCUUUUGGAGCCAUUUAUCGGACAUUAGAGAUCCGAAAACCAAAAAAAUAAUCAAGAUUAGAUGCAAAUAUUGUGAGAUAAUUUUUUGGAACUUUAUUAUCAGGACAUUAUUAAUUAUGUUUAGGGACAUUAAACUUGUAAUUUUGAUGAUGUUGUCAGUUUGUU